CAGAGUCGAAGCUACUCAGAAUGUUGGGAUAUCAGAACGUGGGAAGAGGAGGACUGAACCCCAGAUCCCAGCAGGGCCGAGUGACAGCUUAGUCACGGAGCUGACAGCAGAUGUGAAACUGCUCAGACAUGGGAGGCGCUGCUAACGUGAGAAGAUUCGAAACAGGCUGCGGCAAUGACCUCAGAUGGGGAAGACAUGCAAAAAACCAAGAAGAGUGCCAGUCCGCAAUCAGAAACAGGACCGCUGUUCUCCUGCGCAUCACACCCGGAGAGACAACUGUCGCUUCUCCAAAAGGCACCGCAAACACAGGACCAGGACAGAAACAUCAAGGAGAGAAAGUGAAGGAGGACAGCUUCUCUUUCAGCCUUCGUCCCCAGCUGGUUCCAGAUGACAUGAAGAGCUGUCCCUCUUCCCCCUCCCUGCAGUAUCCAAGAUGUCAGUGCCAACGCCAAGUUAUCUGGCUUAGAAGGGGACCC